rnacentral:rRNA from 1 species
UCGAGAAUAAUUCACAAUGGGGGCAACCCUGAUGGUGCAACGCCGCGUGGAGGAUGACGGUCUUCGGAUUGUAAACUCCUGUCAUCUGGGAGUAAGGCAUGGCUGUGAAUAGCAGACAUGAUUGAUAGUACCAGAAGAGGAAGGGACGGCUAACUUCGUGCCAGCAGCCGCGGUAAUACGAAGGUCCCAAGCGUUGUUCGGAAUCACUGGGCGUAAAGGGAGCGUAGGCGGCGUGGUAAGUCAGAUGUGAAAUCCCGGGGCUCAACCCCGGAACUGCAUCCGAUACUGCCAUGCUAGAGGAUUGGAGAGGUAGCUGGAAUUCUUGGUGUAGCAGUGAAAUGCGUAGAGAUCAAGAGGAACACUCGUGGCGAAAGCGAGCUACUGGACAAUUCCUGACGCUGAGGCUCGAAGGCUAGGGUAGCGAAAGGG